rnacentral:lncRNA from 1 species
CGCCCGUCCGGGGCACUCGGGGCUUUCAGGGAGCGGGGCCGGUGCGGAGCGCGAUGGUCCCGGCGGGGCCGCCCCUCUCCUGCCUCCUGCUGACGGCCGCGCUGCUGCCACUGCUGCCGGUACCGGCACCGGGGGCAGCCCCAGGCCCCCCUGCUCUCACCGACGCCGAGAUCGAGGAGUUUCUGCGGGGCUUCCUUGGACCCGGGGACGGCGGGGACCGGGACGGGGACGGUAGUGAGCUGGGCUUCGGCACCGACCUCAGUAUUGGCACCGGCACCGGUCCUCCAGGAUCGCUGACUGAGCCUGAGAAACCCAGGAAGGGGAAGAAGGAAAAACCCCCCAAGAAGCUCAAGGAGAGACCCCGGGGCCCCAAGAAGGAUAAAGACAAGGUCAAGGACAAGAAUCGGGGCAAGAACAAACCCCCCAAGAAAUCGAAGGAGAAGCCACCGAAAGGCUCUGAAAACCCACCAAAAGGCUCUGAAAAACCUCCAAAAGGCUCCAAAAAGCCCAAGGAGAAGCCACCUAAGGCCACUAAACCCUCUGGCAAGAAGCCAUCAGUGCUGCCAAGCCCCCCCACUGAACCCCCCACAAGCCUGCAGCCAUCACAGGGCAAGGAGGAUGAAGAGAAACCUGAGUUCCUGGAGCCUUUGCACAACAAGAAGGAGGAGGAGGAGGAUGGAGGUGUCCAAGCUGAGUUUUGGGGACACCCAUCUUGCCACUAGUGGGUUUGGGGUGGGAGGUCUAACUGGAGCAGAGCAUCACCCCACAUCGUGCUCAGCUGCCUGAGCUCAGCAGCAUCCUACAGCUGGCCAGGGUUUGUCCCCUUGGGUUUCCCCUCUGUCUCCCCGCAUUCCUUCCCAUGGGAUUUUCUUCCCACUAGAGGAAGGGGCUAGAGGAGGCCUGGACAGGGGCCUGGGGAGGCCACACCAGCCCCUCGCUCUGUCUCUGUCCCCAGAAGAGCUAGAAGAGCUGCCAAAUGAGCGCUGGGGACUGGGCCGGGAGGACUGGAACCCUGAGCCCCAGCCAGGUGAGUGCCCAGUCCCCAAGGCACUGUGUCUUGGGGACACUCCUCUGCAGGCCAGGGCCACCCCUCUGCACCCUGGGGCUAUCUCCUUGUGUCUUGGGACCACCUUUCUGUCCCCAAAUAUCACCUUCCUGCACCCCAGUGCCAUGUCCCAUCUCCCCAGGGUCACGCUCCUGCAAUAUGGGCCAUCUCCUUGUUCCCAAAAGCACCCCUGUGUCAGCUUCCUGUGUCCCAGCACCAUCUCCCUGCAUCCCAGUGCCAUCACUUUGCAGGCCAGGACCACCUCCCUCCUCCUUGGUGUAUUUCCUUGCACUCUACUAUACUCUGGACUAAUUCCCUGCUCACAUCCUAUGGGCCCCAAGGCUAUCACACUUACCUCAGGGCCUCUUUCCUAUUCUCAAGUGCCACCUCCCUGUUCCUUGUUGUCCCCUGCCUGCACCCCAGUGCCACUCUGUGCCCCUUCUC